rnacentral:rRNA from 1 species
ACUCAAAGGAAUAGACGGGGACCCGCACAACCGGUGGAGCGUGUGGUUCAAUUCGAUACGAAACGAAAAACCUCACCAGGACUUGACAUGAUACCGUUUAUUCCUCUGGAAACAGAGGGAAAUCCGCAAGGAUGGUACCACAGGUGCUGCAUGGCUGUCGUCAGCUCGUGCCGUGAGGUGUUCCCUUAAGUGGGGAAACGAGCGCAACCCCUGUCUAAUGUUAAAUAUUCAUUAGAAACGGUCCCAGUUUUACUGGGAAGGAAGGAAGGGUAGAUGUCAAGUCAGCAUGGUCCUUAUGUCCUGGGCAACACACACACUACAAUGGCGAAAAACAAUGGGCUGCAAGCCGGCAACGGCAAGCGAAUCUCACAAAUUUCGCCUCAGUUCAGAUUGGGGUCUGCAACCCGACCCCAUGAAGUCGGAAUCGGUAGUAAUCGCGGAUCAGCAUGCCGCGGUGAAUACGUUCUCGGGUCUUGUACACACCGCCCGU